rnacentral:lncRNA from 1 species
GGAAAAAGAAAGACUGAAGAGGAGAUUUCCUGCUAUCUUCAGACUUAGACCUUUAAGUUGGCUUACAUUCUAUCAGAGAACUUCAGACCAACCACCCAUGUACUGCAAAAAAGUUUACCAUAUAAUUAUGGAAGAAGACAACAAAUUUGAAUGGUCAGCUGUUGGUCUUAGAUACCUCAGUAGAAAAUGGGCAAAAAUAUUUAUUCAAGAUUUAUUUUUUAAGCACCUUCUGUGUGUCAUACACUGUACACAAAUAGAAAAUGUGUCAGGCAUCGUGGUCCACACCUGUAAUCCCAGCUACUCAAGAGGCUGAUUUACUAUGAAAUAUUGUAGAUUCAGCUUCAGAACUUCUCAUUGAGGGGAGCCUUUGCAUAAGUGGCACAGAUGCCUGGCUCUAGCCUGGCACCCUCUGUGCCUUGGAAGAGGUCCUGGGGUUGCCCCUCUACUUCCAAUGACAAAUUCCCCUGGUUGUCAUCAUCCAACAUGCAGACUCCAUUGUUGACCUCAAAGAGAAUGAUCUGAACAAGAUACUAUUCCACCAUGACCCCAUUUUCAUGGCCAAUGAGUCCCCCAAAGACAGGUAUGGUGGGGGGUGGAAAAAAGAGCAGUGAGGACCUAGCUGUCUGGAACAGCUGCCCUAAAGGGCAAUUCCUACAAGAUUAAUGAACAAUUGUGAACAUGUAUCAGGAAACAAUUUAAGGGUAGCAAUGGGAAAGUUUCCAGAAUUAUCAAUAAUAAAAAUUUUGUAUCCGACAUUCUAAAAAAUAAAAGGACCACAUUUUCUAUUUAUUCUUUUUUAGAAAGUGAUAUUGCAAUAUCAUUAUUGCUCAAAAGUCAAAGAAUAUGCAGCACUUUGACAUCACUAGAAUGGCUAUAAUCAAGAUGCAAUCACACAUGCAGUGGCACACACCUGUUAUCCCAGCGGUUUAGGAGGCUGAGACAGGAGGAUCACAAGUUCAACUGAUCAAGGUCCUAAGCAACUCAGCAAGACCCUG